CGGGGAUUAGCGCAGUGGUAGCGCAUCUGUUUUGGGAGCAGAGGGUCGCGAGUUCGAAUCCCGCAUCCCCGACCA
rnacentral:tRNA from 1 species